UUGUUAUGUGUUUUUUCUUUAAACCUGGUAUUGGCCGAUUCAACCACAGAAAAAGAAUAUUAGCCAUAACCAUAAAAGUUGAAGUUCAAAUGUCAAUGUCAUUUAGUUUCGCACAGUGAUAAAUUCCAGUGACAUGCAAUUUUUGUAAUGGCAAAAUAUUAGUAAGAAACUGCAAACAAAUGCAAAUGUGCAGUCGAUGUGUGGAAUGCGACAACAUUAUACUCGAUAAUUUCAAUUAUUGCGAGUGUUGUGGCUUAGAAACAAUUAGGCAGUUAAGAAUAAACAAGGCUCGGGCACUAUCAAACCUUUUUCCUAAAAAGCAAAAAGCUGCUUCUGCUGCAUCACAAGAUUUAUUUGAUGACUUUCAGGUUGAUAACGGAGAGUUGACGCUAAUCGAGGAUUCAUGAUGCUUCUUCGGACAACAAGAAAAAACAGCUACUGUCAGUCAGCAGUGAUGAUGCUUCUUCGGACAAAAAGGAAAAACAGCUGCUGUCAGUCAGCAGUGAUUUUAUUUCUUUAGAAGAAGAAGAGAAAGAAAACAUAUCAAAUGGCGGGCAGACCCCCGAAAAAACAUUUAUCCAUGGACAGUGGCAACCACGAAUAUCUCAGUCAGCGGCUGAUAAAGUAAUUGCAAGAAUGUAUAAUUAUUCCUUUUCUGAUCGGGAACGAUAUUAUCUCUGGCUAUUACUUCUUCACGUCAAAGGGCCGACUUGCUUCAGAGAUGUUAGAACUUAUUAAUAUGAAAAUAUUAUUUACACAUCAUUUCGAGAAGCUGCUCAAGCAAGGGGGCAGCUUUUUGACGAUCAAGAAUGGGAAAGAUGUUUGGAUGAAGCAAUUGGUUUCAAACUUCCUCGGCAAUUACGACAGCUGUUUGCGUUAAUUUGCGUGUUUUGUGAAGUAACUGAUCCUAAUGCUCUUUGGGAAAAAUUUGCAUCACAUUUUAUCGAAGACUUUACAAGAUCCCGCCCUGAAAUAUUAUCCAAACAGUUGGCUUUACAAGAAAUUGAUGAAACAUUAAAACUCCACGGAAAGAGACUAACAGAUUUCGGACUUCCGGAGCCAGAUAUUGAUGAAAAUAGUAUUUUCUUAUCUGAUCCCGUUUCUGACUAUUAAUAAGAGUUAUUUACAUAACCUAUAUUAACGAUUGAAUUUGAUUGUUUUGUUAAUUUGUCUUAGUUUAUUUUGAAUGUUGAUUUAAAAUAAAAAUAAUUUGUGUAAAAACAUUUGCAGUUUUUAUUUACCAUAUUUAUUAAACACAACUAACGAAGCUAUAUGAAUCUAUAUUUAAUAUUCUUUGAGAACCGAUGACUACAGAAACAUCUAUCUACAUUUUGCACCUAGAAUUGUGUAUUAUGAGUCAAAUUUCACCCGAGCGAAGCCGGGU